ensembl:lncRNA PPIEL peptidylprolyl isomerase E like (pseudogene)
CUGUCAUCCAGGCUGGAUUGCAGUGUCAUUGAUCAUAGCUCAAGCGGUCUUCCUGCCUCAGCCUCCCAAAGUGCUGUGAUUACAGGUGUGAGCCACUGCACCUGGCCUCUUCAUAUCUUACAACGAAAAGCACCAAGGAUUCUCUUUUGUUGAAUUUGAGUUGGCAGAGGAUGUUGCAGCAGCUGUCAACAACAUGUUUGGUCAGAUGAAGACUGGGUGGAGAAGUUUGCUGGGAAGAGGAUAAAGAGGAAGGUGGUUGAGACUUCCCAAAGCAGAAAGCCAGGAGGUAAGAAUGACAGUUCAUGCUUCCAUAGGAGAGGCUGCUGCUUUCCACAUAGGGAAUUUCUGAGGUGAGUGGUGUUGGGUGAAUUUAAAGGAGAAGUUUUGGCUUUCUUAUCUAGGUGAGAAAUAUCUUAUGUGGGCUCAGGUAUUUGUGAUUGCUGCUGAGCAAGGCGGAUAUCUGAGGUGAGAAAGGAUGGUGAGUACUCUGCAUCACCAGCAUCCGCUAUCCUCCUAGUCUUUGGCAGCAGGCUCACUGUCUUCCUGUUCUUGCCCUAAUUCCAAGGGGGCAGAAUCAUGUAGAGGUCCCUUCCCCUCAGUCAGUACACAGGCACAAGGCUCUCCCUGCCCUCUCCACUUGCUCCUGCUUCUCCAUCAGGCCAUCCUGACUGUUGCUUCCCAGGAUAAUUUAAGGGCUCCUCCUCCUCAGUCCACCCUUUGAGCAGUGAUAUUUCCCUGAAUUCCUUCCUUAGCCCUCAGCACCUCUCUCCACAUUAUCCUUAUGCCAUGUCAGCCCCUUCUAUCUCCUAAGGUUAUAACGAUCUUUCAUUGUCCGAAUGAUAUUCUGAUCUCUAUCCCUAGCCCUGACCUUUCACAUAUUUCUGUUUGGGUGUCUUAUAGGCACCAUAAAUAAAGCAUAUCCCAAAUGGGUUUCAUCACCUUUCUGGUCUUUUUUUAUGCCCAAUCUUAGUUCACUUUGCCAUCUUCAACAUAGUCACACCCAAACCAGAUUCCUUGGUGCCAGCUUAGAUCCCUCACUGUAUUUCAUACCUAAUGCAUUACCAUACCCUGCUAAUUUUAUCUUUUAAAUCUUGCGUUUCUCCUCUCCAGUUUUCUUCUGCCACUGUUGUCUUGGCUGAGGCCUUAUCCUCUCUCCUGUGAAUAAUUGGAGUAGCUUCCUAACUGGUCUCCCUGCCCCAGGCCUGUUUUCCUCCUAUCCUUAGCAGCCAGAGGGAGCUUUCUAAAGGGCAGAUCUGACUAUCUCACUCUCCUUAAGCAUUCUAGGGACUCCCUUGAUUUAUAGGAUUGAGUCCAGCCUCCAUCAAAAGGGACAGAAGACCUCUCUAUGUUCUGAUUCCUGCUUAUGUCUCCAUAUUUUAUCUCCAUUUUAUAUUCUAGGAAACAAGAGUUUGUAGAUACCUGUAAAUCUCUGUUUUGAUGUAAGUCAUUCCUCUGCCUGCAGUGUCCUUUUCCAAUUUAUUUUAUGUGGCUAAUGCCUGCUCAUUUCUCAUAGCGCAGCCCAUUUACUGCCUUCUCCAGGAAGCUUUUCUGAAUCCUCCAGUGAGUAAGGGAGAGCCCACUGCUAAAAAAGGCCUAGUCAAAUCCUCAGGUGUACAUGGACAUCAAGAUUGGGAACAAGCCGGCUGGCUGCAUCCAAACCCUCCUGCGUUCCGACGUCGUGCCCAUGACCACAGAGAAUUUUCUCUACAUGUGCACCCAUUUAAAGGACUCGGCUUCAAGGGAAGCAGCUUCCACCGCAUUAUCCCCCAGUUCAUUUGCCAGGGCAGUGAUUUCACAAACCACGGUGGCACCAGGGGCUGGUCUUGUAUUCCUGGACUCAAGUGAUCCUCCUGCCUUGGCCUGCCAAAGUGCUGGGAUUACAGGCGUGAGCCACGGUGCCUGGCCCCAGGCCUUUUAGACUGAACUCAGACAUCACCUCCUUCAGAAAGCCUUCAUGAUGAGUGUUUGUGUCUGCGCAGGCAUGGCACUAAGUGUCCCAUGGCACAUUUGGCCCUCAUGGAGGCCUCAAAAGGGCAGGACCAGCACCCUCUUCUACGGAGGAAGGAACGGGCACAGCAGGGUGAGCCACUGCGCCUGAUCAAGGCAUCACCGUUGAACCUCCUAAGAGGAAAACAUAAGGCUGUGCAAUACCAGGAACUGGGAUUCUAGGUUGCCCCAGACACCAAGGCAUCAAAAGCCAGGGGAUCCAGAGAAAACACAGACAGCCAAGAGAGAAACUGCGGGAAAAAGCCAAAAGGUUGAGAGCCACACCAUCUAGAAGCUUCCUGCCUGUGGUGCGGCACAGAAACAAGGAGAGUCAGCAAUUACCAGCCAGCCAA